GAUGAACGCUGGCGGCAUGCCUAAUACAUGCAAGUCGAGCGAAUGGAUUAAGAGCUUGCUCUUAUGAAGUUAGCGGCGGACGGGUGAGUAACACGUGGGUAACCUGCCCAUAAGACUGGGAUAACUCCGGGAAACCGGGGCUAAUACCGGAUAACAUUUUGAACCGCAUGGUUCGAAAUUGAAAGGCGGCUUCGGCUGUCACUUAUGGAUGGACCCGCGUCGCAUUAGCUAGUUGGUGAGGUAACGGCUCACCAAGGCAACGAUGCGUAGCCGACCUGGGCGUGUGAUCGGCCACACUGGGACUUAGACACGGCCGAGACUCCUACGGGAGGCAGCAGUAGGGAAUCUUCCGCAAUGGACGAAAGUCUGACGGAGCAACGCCGCGUGAGUGAUGAAGGCUUUCGGGUCGUAAAACUCUGUUGUUAGGGAAGAACAAGUGCUAGUUGAAUAAGCUGGCACCUUGACGGUACCUAACCAGAAAGCCACGGCUAACUACGUGCCAGCAGCCGCCGUAA
rnacentral:rRNA from 1 species